rnacentral:rRNA from 1 species
AGAGUUUGAUCAUGGCUCAGAACGAACGCUGGCGGCAGGCUUAACACAUGCAAGUCGAACGCCGUGUGCUCUGUGCCCUCGGGCCCCGAGCACACGGAGUGGCAGACGGGUGAGUAACACGUGGGAACGUAUCCUUCGGUUCGGAAUAGCCCCGGGAAACUGGGUGUAAUACCGGAUGCGCCCCUCCUUGUGAGGGGGAAAGAUUUAUCGCCGAAGGACCGGCCCGCGGUGGAUUAGGUAGUUGGUGGGGUAAAGGCCCACCAAGCCGACGAUCCAUAGCUGGUCUGAGAGGACGACCAGCCACACUGGGACUGAGACACGGCCCAGACUCCUACGGGAGGCAGCAGUGGGGAAUCUUGGACAAUGGGCGCAAGCCUGAUCCAGCCAUGCCGCGUGGAUGAUGACGGCCCUAGGGUUGUAAAAUCCUUCCCNGGAAG